AGAGUUUGAUCCUGGCUCAGGAUGAACGCUGGCGGCGUGCUUAACACAUGCAAGUCGAGCGAAGCACUUUGGAAAGAUUCUUCGGAUGAUUUCCUUUGUGACUGAGCGGCGGACGGGUGAGUAACGCGUGGGUAACCUGCCUCAUACAGGGGGAUAACAGUUAGAAAUGACUGCUAAUACCGCAUAAGACCACGGUACCGCAUGGUACAGUGGUAAAAACUCUGGUGGUAUGAGAUGGACCCGCGUCUGAUUAGGUAGUUGGUGGGGUAACGGCCUACCAAGCCGACGAUCAGUAGCCGACCUGAGAGGGUGACCGGCCACAUUGGGACUGAGACACGGCCCAGACUCCUACGGGAGGCAGCAGUGGGGAAUAUUGCACAAUGGAGGAAACUCUGAUGCAGCGACGCCGCGUGAAGGAUGAAGUAUUUCGGUAUGUAAACUUCUAUCAGCAGGGAAGAAAAUGACGGUACCUGACUAAGAAGCCCCGGCUAACUACGUGCCAGCAGCCGCGGUAAUACGUAGGGGGCAAGCGUUAUCCGGAUUUACUGGGUGUAAAGGGAGCGUAGACGGCACGGCAAGCCAGAUGUGAAAGCCCGGGGCUCAACCCCGGGACUGCAUUUGGAACUGCUGAGCUAGAGUGUCGGAGAGGCAAGUGGAAUUCCUAGUGUAGCGGUGAAAUGCGUAGAUAUUAGGAGGAACACCAGUGGCGAAGGCGGCUUGCUGGACGAUGACUGACGUUGAGGCUCGAAAGCGUGGGGAGCAAACAGAAGGAGAUACCCUGGUAGUCCACGCCGUAAACG
rnacentral:rRNA from 1 species